UAAGACGAUAACAUUCAUCAAAUGUAGGUCGUUGUGUACUAUAUCGAUUGGUUGUCCUCCUAACCAAAGGGUGUAAAAAUACUAGUAUGACAUACAGAUGGAAUAUAAGAGUACAUUUUACUAAACGUGAUCCAUCUUAGAGCACUCUGCUAUCAGGAGUAGCUUGCGAAGAAUAUGGGUAUAAGUGUCCCUCUAUCUG
rnacentral:lncRNA from 1 species